CCCUGUUUUUUCAAAAACAUGGCUCCUUGUUUUCUUAUAUAGGGAGUCGGACCUGCUCGGUGAAUAUAUUUUAACAGCCGCGGUACUCUGACCGUGCAAAGGUAGCAUAAUCAUUUGCCUUAUAAUUGAAGGCUAGUAUGAAUGGUUUGACGAGAAUUAAGCUGUCUCUUUUUAACUAAAUAUAACUUUAUUAAGAGGUGAAGAAGCCUGUAUUUCAUUGAAAGACAAGAAGACCCUAUCGAGCUUUAAAGAAUUUAGUAGAUUUACCAUAUAUUAAUAAAAAAGUAAAGCAACUAAAUAUUUUGGUUGGGGCGACUGAGGAACAAACAAAGCUUCCUUUAUGCUAAUUAAAACUUACAAGUAUUGAUCCAAUUUAUUUGAUUAAAGAAAUUAGUUACCGUAGGGAUAACAGCAUAAUCUCCUUUGAGAGUUCUCAUCGAAAAGGGGGUUUGUGACCUCGAUGUUGGACCAGAAUACCCAGAAGAUGCAGCCGUCUUCAAUGGUUGGUCUGUUCGACCAUUAAAAUUCUACAUGAUCUGA
rnacentral:rRNA from 1 species